AGAGUUUGAUCCUGGCUCAGGACGAACGCUGGCGGCGUGCUUAACACAUGCAAGUCGAACGGAGAUUUAGAGUAGCUUGCUACUCGAAGAUCUUAGUGGCGGACGGGUGAGUAACGCGUGGGCAAUCUGCCCGUAAGAGGGGGACAACACUGUGAAAACGGUGCUAAUACCGCAUAACAUCACUGUGGUGCAUAUCAUGG
rnacentral:rRNA from 1 species